rnacentral:lncRNA from 1 species
UCAGCCCAAAAAUCUCUCCUUAAGUCUUUAUCAUGAUCAAAAUCAAUGCUGGCCAUCUGAUCGUGCUCCUGAUUGAAUUCUGCUAUUGGAUCAUGCUCAAUCUCUCCUAUUCACAGUCAGAAAUAACCACCACUGUCGGAUCCGACAUCAAAUGGAUUUCUGACCGUUGGAUCGCACACAGAUUUUCUUCUUUUCAACCGACAAUGAAUAGCAGAUGUCGAAUCAAGUUCAGAAUCGAUUUGAACUAUCAGAUUGUGAAAACUUUUCUCCACCCACCUGUGAACUGUGCCAA